ACUCCAGCCCAUUAGGCCCAUCAAUCGAACUGCACCUAGGACUAGGAGAGUGCUUUGAGAUUGCAGAAAUGAGCCUGAGCCUUGAAGCGUUGUACUUGUAGGAUGGAGGACGCCAGGACGGGUCGCGCGUGGGCCCGCUUAUCCCUUUCCCUUCGCUUCGACAAAACCUCCAAUACACACACACACCUCCGUUCCUCCCUCACGCCGGCGGCCUGUAUCCCUCUCCCCAUGGCUGCUGGACUGGGAGCGCGCCCCUCCGCCACCUUCGUGGCCGGAAGGUUCCGGCCUCUCGCUGCCCCUCUCCGCCCCGUCCGCUCCGGCAAGUUCGUUGUGCCAAAGCGAUGCUUCAUUGUAUCAAGCAGGCUUGCAUGGGUGGAAGAUGAGCUUAUGGAGAUACAAAAGUCACAAGAGCAAAGUUCAGUAAAAUCAAAGAAAAGGCCACCUUUGAGGCGUGGAAAGGUCUCCCCACAACUUCCUGUACCAGGGCACAUUCCAAGACCAUCUUAUGUUGGUGCGAAAGGAUUGCCUGAACUAUGCAAGGGCCAAUUACAUGAUGCUCAAGGAAUUACUGGAAUGAGAGCUGCUUGCAAACUUGCUGCCCGUGUUCUUGACUUCGCUGGGACUUUAGUUAAGCCAUCCAUUACUACAAAUGAAAUUGACGCAGCAGUCCAUAAUAUGAUCAUUGAGGCUGGUGCUUAUCCUUCUCCACUUGGCUAUCAUGGAUUUCCUAAGAGUAUAUGUACAUCAGUAAAUGAGUGUGUCUGUCAUGGGGUACCUGAUUCAACUCAGCUGCAGAAUGGGGAUAUUAUAAAUAUUGAUGUAAAUGUGUUCCUGAAUGGAUACCAUGGGGGUACCUCCAGAACAUUUGCAUGUGGACAAGUGGAUGAUUCUAUCAAACAUUUUCUCAAUGCAGCUGAAGAAUGCUUGGAGAAAGGCAUUUCUAUCUGCAGGGAUGGUGUGAACUACAGAAAGAUUGGCAAGAAAAUAAGCAAGCUUGCCUAUUUUUAUGGCUAUUAUGUGGUGGAACGCUUUGUUGGGCAUGGGAUUGGAACUAUGUAUCAUUCUGAGCCACUAAUUCUACAUCAUGGGAUCAAUGAAACCCCCAUGACCAAUCCAGGUUUGAAAGCUGGCAUGAACUUCUUGAGAACAAAAUCAGUGGGAUGUCUCUCUUGCCUACCAACGAAAACUCAGGGCGUAUGGUUGAGGGCCAAACAUUUACAAUUGAACCUAUACUCACAAUGGAGAAAACAGAGUGUGUUACAUGGGAAGAUGGAUGGACGACUGUCACUGCUGAUGGUAGCUGGGCUGCGCAGUUUGAGCAUACCAUACUGGUGACUAGGGACGGUGCAGAAAUACUGACGAAAGUCUGAGCUAUUCUCCUGCCCGAUAAUUAUUGUCAGAAUUCUCAGCUAUGGUUCCUGUCCCAAGGCAUCCUGGUCAUGUCCGUUGCUCGCCGCAAUACUCAUUUCAGAGUUUUGAGAUCUGCUGCAGGCCGACAUACGGGAAAGGUUUCCCCCAUGUAGCAGCAACUUGCAGGUGAUAGGUGAGGGCACACACACACACAGAGACACGGCUGCAUCUCUGUGAUUAACACAUUACUGGUCUCCUGCAGCCUGCUGUAGUGGUGUUGCUGUGCCUUUGGAUUCUAGAAGACAUUCUGUAUAUAAAACAGCACUCCUAACAGUUCAGUCUAGAACCUAGAAGUAGAAACUGUUAUUGUUAUGAUACGGAAGCACUUUAGGGGAACAGUUGGAGACACAUUUUUAUGUUUUUCAAAAAAAAAAUGAUUUAGAAAAGACUUAUAGGGAGCUCUUGGAAAUGCUCUAAUAAAAACAUCUCCUAAAAUUUUGUU